UGCCUAACACAUGCAAGUCGGGCGAUGAAACCCUUCGGGGUGGAUUAGCGGCGGACGGGUGAGUAACACGUGGGUAACCUGCCUCAAAGAGGGGAAUAGCCUCCCGAAAGGGAGAUUAAUACCGCAUAAUAUGUUUUAAUCGCAUGAUUGAAACAUCAAAGGAGUCUUCUUCUUCGGAAGAAGCAUCCACUUUGAGAUGGACCCGCGGCGCAUUAGCUAGUUGGUGAGGUAACGGCUCACCAAGGCGACGAUGCGUAGCCGACCUGAGAGGGUGAUCGGCCACAUUGGAACUGAGAUACGGUCCAGACUCCUACGGGAGGCAGCAGUGGGGAAUAUUGCACAAUGGGCGCAAGCCUGAUGCAGCCAUGCCGCGUGUAUGAAGAAGGCCUUCGGGUUGUAAAGUACUUUCAGCGAGGAGGAAGGCAUUAAGGUUAAUAACCUUAGUGAUUGACGUUACUCGCAGAAGAAGCACCGGCUAACUCCGUGCCAGCCGCCGCGGUAAUUCAAGCCGAAUUCCACACACUAA
rnacentral:rRNA from 1 species